AUGGUUGUAAAGCACUUUAAGCGAGGAGAGCUCUUUUGGUUAAUACCCAAGAUGAGUGGACGUUACUCGCAGAAUAAGCACCGGCUAACUCUGUGCCAGCAGCCGCGGUAAUACAGAGGGUGCAAGCGUUAAUCGGAUUUACUGGGCGUAAAGCGCGCGUAGGCGGCCAAUUAAGUCAAAUGUGAAAUCCCCGAGCUUAACUUGGGAAUUGCAUUCGAUACUGGUUGGCUAGAGUGUGGGAGAGGAUGGUAGAAUUCCAGGUGUAGCGGUGAAAUGCGUAGAGAUCUGGAGGAAUACCGAUGGCGAAGGCAGCCAUCUGGCCUAACACUGACGCUGAGGUGCGAAAGCAUGGGGAGCAAACAGGAUUAGAUACCCUGGUAGUCCAUGCCGUAAACGAUGUCUACUAGCCGUUGGGGCCUUUGAGGCUUUAGUGGCGCAGCUAACGCGAUAAGUAGACCGCCUGGGGAGUACGGUCGCAAGACUAAAACUCAAAUGAAUUGACGGGGGCCCGCACAAGCGGUGGAGCAUGUGGUUUAAUUCGAUGCAACGCGAAGAACCUUACCUGGCCUUGACAUAGUAGAAACUUUCCAGAGAUGGAUUGGUGCCUUCGGGAAUCUACAUACAGGUGCUGCAUGGCUGUCGUCAGCUCGUGUCGUGAGAUGUUGGGUUAAGUCCCGCAACGAGCGCAACCCUUUUCCUUACUUGCCAGCAUUUCGGAUGGGAACUUUAAGGAUACUGCCAGUGACAAACUGGAGGAAGGCGGGGACGACGUCAAGUCAUCAUGGCCCUUACGGCCAGGGCUACACACGUGCUACAAUGGUCGGUACAAAGGGUUGCUACCUAGCGAUAGGAUGCUAAUCUCAAAAAGCCGAUCGUAGUCCGGAUUGGAGUCUGCAACUCGACUCCAUGAAGUCGGAAUCGCUAGUAAUCGCGGAUCAGAAUGCCGCGGUGAAUACGUUCCCGGGCCUUGUACACACCGCCCGUCACACCAUGGGAGUUUGUUGCACCAGAAGUAGCUAGCCUAACUGCAAAGAGGGCGGUACCACGGUUGCCCCAUUGG
rnacentral:rRNA from 1 species